AAAGCAUCAAACGGAGACAGCAUAUGCCUUAUCCCAUACAACACUGGGGUAAUCUCAAACAACAAGGUUGUGUUGAAUGUGGAUAUUGUGUCAUGCGGUACAUGAAGGAGAUUGUUGAAUGUGAGGAUCUACAGUUGGAGAGGAAGUUUGCAGGUUGUGUGAAGAACCAGUACUAUACGCAGACACAAUAUGAUGAAGUGAGAAUUGAAUGGAGUGAAUUUGUGUACUCGUAUUUGAAG